GAUGAACGCUAGCGGCAGGCCUAACACAUGCAAGUCGAGGGGCAGCACGUCUUCGGAUGGUGGCGACCGGCGCACGGGUGCGUAACGCGUAUGCAACCUACCUCUUACAGUGGGAUAGCCCAGAGAAAUUUGGAUUAAUACCGCAUAGUAUACAGAUUCAGCAUUGGGACUGUAUUAAACAUUUAUGGGUAAGAGAUGGGCAUGCGUUCUAUUAGUUAGUUGGACGUGGUAACGGCACCCCAAGACAGCGAUAGAUAGGGGCCCUGAGAGGGGGAUCCCCCACACUGGUACUGAGACACGGACUAGACUCCUACGGGAGGCAGCAGUGAGGAAUAUUGGACAAUGGGCGAGAGCCUGAUCCGAGCCAUGCCGCGUGCAGGAAGACGGCCCUAUGGGUUG
rnacentral:rRNA from 1 species